rnacentral:rRNA from 1 species
GAUGAACGCUGGCGGCGUGCCUAAUACAUGCAAGUCGAACGCAUCCCGUUAAAUGAAGUGCUUGCACGGAUUUUAACAUUGGAUGAGUGGCGAACUGGUGAGUAACACGUGGGUAACCUGCCCAGAAGCAGGGGAUAACACUUGGAAACAGGUGCUAAUACCGUAUAACAACAAAACCGACAUGGUUUUGUUUGAAAGGUGGUUUCGGCUAUCACUUCUGGAUGGACCCGCGGCGUA